rnacentral:lncRNA from 1 species
UGUAGUUGUUAAUUUCUGUGUCAUUUGGUCUCUUGCAGAGAGUUGUCACAUUGGCAAUCAGACCUUAUGAUGGCUUAUCUUCUUCUUUUUAUUGAUUGCAUUUGAAUAAGCUUUUUUCAACUUAAAAAAAAACAGGAAACAAACCCAAUGAGUGUACAUUGGCCUAUCAGAUGGUGCCUCAUGUUUAGAGUCUGAUGAGACUGGCAUUGAUGAAAACUAGAACCUAAUUCCUGUGACAUGACUAGUUUCGCAGUUGUACUUGACUCAUAUUUUUGAAAAGUAUUUCAAAAGAAAUAAUUCAAAUUCUGUUAUAU